rnacentral:lncRNA from 1 species
CAAUCAGGCCAAAAAUAAAGCUAUACUUCACCUGAAGGACCCCCACAAUUCUGCCAAUGGGAUGUCCAUCCAUGUCAUGCCGCUCACCUGGAAAAGGCAGCCCCCAGCACAAAUGCAGCAUACUCCUUCACCAGGGGCUCUGUGCUGUUCAGCCCAUUGAUCACCACUUGAAGGCCACCGAAGGAAAGCAGGUCCUGUGCAUUAUCCAUCUGUAACAAAGACAUGGCUUAGUACAGUCCAGCCAUCAAGGAUUACUGCCUUUCUUUUGGUGACUAUUCUAAAAGCCUAAAAAAUCAAGUAAAAACCAAUGGAGACCUUUCUAACUGGAAAAAGAUAUGUAAAAACAACCUAAAUUCAUAAAUUUGAGAUUUCUGAAUUCAUCUAACAUGAUUUUCGAGCACCUGUGUGGAAAUGGCAGCAAUGGCACCUAGUUAUUGUUUAUGCCAAACAUGUCCUGGAAAAUUCUAAAACCAUAAUGAAUCACAAAGCUUACUCCAAAUGUACAAGCUGUUAACACAAAGAUCUGACAUCGUCAGGACUAGUAAAUAGUGCCAUGCUUCCUAUUGAUGUCUAGUCCUAAUGCAGGCAGUGGAAGCAGCAGACACACACACAAAAAAAGGCGUUUUCAAAUUUUGUUAUUAUUAUUGUUUAAAUGUUUGUUUAUUUUUGAGAGGAAGAGAGAGAACAUGAGCAGGGGAGGUGCAGAGUGGGGGGGGGCGGGGGGAGAAGAUCUGAAGUGGGCUCUGUGCUGACAGGAGAGAGCCUUAUGCAGGGCUCCAACUCACAAACCAUGAUAUCAUGACUUGAGCCCAAGUUGGAUGCUUAACUGACUGGUGCCACCCAGGCGCCCCAAAGGCUGUUUUUUAAUUAGAAGUCAAGGGACUAUGUAACAUGAACCCUGUUGCACAGGAAAGGGGGUCUAGCAGAGUGCUAGAGGAAGAAUACCAAUAAUACCUCCUCUCCUCUCUCUUCCUCACUUCAUACAGUCUAAGGCUGACUCACUGUGAGGGCACUCAUGAUAAAAUGUAUACAGAAGUCUCUCUCAAAGGCUAUAUAGUGUGAUAAAAUUCUAUCAAACAGCACUGGUCUAGGCUAUCCUUUAAGGUCCAAAGCCCCAAGUCUAGACUCUCUUUUAUUCUAAAGGGAAUAUCAUGCCCCAGGCUUCAUUAAUAUCCUGGAACAAGAACACUCAACUUGCUCAGAAAGGUCACUGGAUCCGGUUUCCUUCAUGCAGUAACUAUGGUCUCCACUGGAAAUACCUUUGUUGAUACAAAGGCUGCCUCCUGCCCACAAGUGGAUUCCACUCUACAAAUCAUCAGGACAAUGCAGGAAGCUAGAGCCCAACAAUAUAUCUGCUACCCACCUUUUUCCUCCAGAUGCCACAGAGCCACUUCCUAACUUUGUCCUUCUAAACUAGACAAAGGCUCUAACAGAGAAACUGAGUUUGAAGGACUCUGAUUCUUCCUGUGUUUCUGAGUGGAACUAGCCUGUUUUUACCACUUAGAAGAUCAUUUUUAUACAUUCUGAUAUCAUCUCCACAAGAGCAGUUUUAUUUUCUGUCUGUCCACUCUUGUAGAUACAGUGAUUACAACAGCGUCGAGUAUAUAAUUAGGUACUCAAUAAAUAAUUGGGUUUUUAAAAAUGUUUAUUUUUGAGAGUGAGAGAAAGAGAGGUAGUGUAGGACAG